GACGAACGCUGGCGGCGUGCUUAACACAUGCAAGUCGAACGGAAAGGCCCUGCUUUUGUGGGUUGCUCGAGUGGCGAACGGGUGAGUAACACGUGAGUAACCUGCCCUUGACUUUGGGAUAACUUCAGGAAACUGGGGCUAAUACCGGAUAGGAGCUCCUGCUGCAUGGUGGGGGUUGGAAAGUUUCGGCGGUUGGGGAUGGACUCGCGGGUUAUCCGCUUGUUGGUGGGGUAGUGGCUUACCAAGGCUUUGACGGGUAGCCGGCCUGAGAGGGGGACCGGCGACAUGGGGACUGAGAUACGGACCAGAAUCCUACGGGAGGCAGUAGUGGGGAAUAUGACACAAUGGGCGGAAGCCUGAGGCAGCAACGCCGCGUGCGGGAUGACGGCCUUCGGGUGGUAAACCGAUUUGGCCUGUGACGAAGCGUGAGUGACGGUAAUGGGUAAAGAAGCACCGGCUAACUACGUG
rnacentral:rRNA from 1 species